UUUAAAAAAAGAAAAUAGCUAAAUCUGAGUAUCAGAAGACCUUUCAGUCUUCCUGAUGCGUGAUCUCUGUAGUUCUGAAA